GUCUUAGUAGUUUAACUUAAAACACUGGUCUUGUAAACCAGAAAUAAUGUCAAUUUUAAGACA
rfam:Daphnia magna strain Xinb3 scaffold01847, whole genome shotgun sequence.